UGGCGUCGUCUUCAUCUUCAUCAUCAGAGGUAUCUGAAAGAAGAAGUAUACCCGGAGCAUCGUUUGUAUCUGAUGUUCAAACUUAUUUGACAAGAUUAGGUCUUGAUGUCGUUUCUUCCUUGGCAUUUCUUCAAGAAAGGCGAAAUUUCCCGGUAUCGAGAAGUGUUUGGAUAUAGUUGCUACUUUGCAGGCUAAGAUGGGUACUGGUGAGGAACUAAUAGCCGAUUUUGAAGUUUCAGAAGGCACGCAUAGAGAAGUCAGACUCUAUAUGUGUGUGGCUGGGAGUAAGUGUCAUGCUGGAAUACACAAGUGAAGAGGUCCGCUUAUUGAGAAUUUGCAUAUCAAUAAUACUGCUUCUUUUCUUCUUUUAGCAGUACAUCAAUACUAGUGUACAGGAUAAAAAAUGAUUAUGUUCUUUUUGACGAAAUGUCACUCUUCUGUACCCUUAAACUCGUAAAUGUUAGCAUGUCCUCGGAGUAAACAUUCACACCAGAAAGUUGGCUUUGGUUUGUAUUCUA